rnacentral:rRNA from 1 species
GACGUAGGGCGCGAGCGUUGUCCGGAUUUAUUGGGCGUAAAGAGCUCGUAGGCGGCUCGUUGCGUCGGCUGUGAAAACCCGCAGCUCAACUGUGGGCUUGCAGCUGAUACGGGCGGGCUGGGAUUCGGUAGGGGAGACUGGAAUUCCUGGUGUAGCGGUGAAAUGCGCAGAUAUCAAGAGGAACACCUGCGGCGAAGGCGGGUUGCUGGGCCGACACUGACGCUGAGGCGCGAAAGCCAGGGGAGCGAACGGG